rnacentral:tRNA from 1 species
AGGCUUGUAGCUCAGGUGGUUAGAGCGCACCCCUCGAUAAGGGUGAGGUCGGUGGUUCAAGUCCACUCAGGCCUACCA